UACGUAGGGGGCAAGCGUUGGUCCGGAUUUAUUGGGCGUAAAGAGCGUGUAGGCGGCCAGGUAGGUCCGUUGUGAAAACUGGAGGCUUAACCUCCAGCUGUCGAUGGAAACCAUCUGGCUAGAGUCCGGAAGAGGAGAGUGGAAUUCCUGGUGUAGCGGUGAAAUGCGCAGAUAUCAGGAAGAACACCCGUGGCGAAGGCGGCUCUCUGGGACGGUACUGACGCUGAGACGCGAAAGCGUGGGGAGCGAACAGGA
rnacentral:rRNA from 1 species